CAGCCGCCGCGGGAAUACGAAGGGGGCUAGCGUUGUUCGGAUUUACUGGGCGUAAAGGGCGCGUAGGCGGACUGAUAAGUCAGGGGUGAAAUCCCGAGGCUCAACCUUGGAACUGCCUUUGAUACUGUUUGUCUUGAGUUCGAGAGAGGUAAGUGGAACUGCGAGUGUAGAGGUGAAAUUCGUAGAUAUUCGCAAGAACACCAGUGGCGAAGGCGGCUUACUGGCUCGAAACUGACGCUGAGGCGCGAAAGCGUGGGGAGCAAACAGGAUUAGAUACCCCCGUAGUCCCUGUCUCUUAUAC
rnacentral:rRNA from 1 species